CUACGGGGGGCAGCAGCGAGGAAUAUUGCACAAUGGGGGGAACCCUGAUGCAGCAACGCCGCGUGGAGGAUGACGCAUUUCGGUGUGUAAACUCCUUUUAUAUGUCAAGAAAAUGACGGUAGCAUAUGAAUAAGCGCCGGCUAACUCCGGUGCCAGCAGCCGCGGUAAUACGGAGGGCGCAAGCGUUACUCGGAAUCACUGGGCGUAAAGGACGCGUAGGCGGGUUGAAAAGUCAGGUGUGAAAGCCUACAGCUUAACUGUAGAACUGCACUUGAAACUCUCAAUCUAGAGUAUGGGAGGGGCAGAUGGAAUUAGUGGUGUAGGGGUAAAAUCCGUAGAUAUCACUAGGAAUACCUAAAGCGAAGGCGAUCUGCUGGAACAUUACUGACGCUAAGGCGUGAAAGCGUGGGGAGCAAACAGGAUUAGAUACCCCCGUAGUC
rnacentral:rRNA from 1 species